ensembl:lncRNA novel transcript
AGUGUUCUUCAUGUAAGCUGGAAAAAAUCUGGUAGAAGACUAGUUGUUGACAGUUUGAAUUAUAGAAUCAAAACACCAGGGUAAAAGGUAGGGUUUUCAGUAUACCACAUGUACAGACUCCUCUGUGAACUGGAAAGAACUUCCUAAUGUAACCAAAGGGAAUUUUCUGUCUCUGGUCUCUCUUGCCAAAGCAAUGAGGUCACACCUGUGUUCAUGAUUUAUUGAGCCACUACAGUGCACACAGAACUAUGCAGGACAACCUGAAAGAAGGAUCACAUAUGCUUCCUCUUCUCAAGAAUUUCAUUUGAUUAAAAAGUAAGAUUAGGCCAGGCGUGGUGGCUCACGCCUGUAAUCCCAACACUGUGGGAGGCUGAGACUACAGGCACAUGCCAACACACCAGGCUAAUUUUUCCUAUUUUUUGUAAAGACAGGGUCUCACUAUGUUGACUAGGCUGGUCUCGAACUCCUGGGCUCAAGGGAUCCUCUCACCUCCGCCUCCCAAAUGUUGGGAUUACAGGUAUAACCCAUCGUGCCCAUCUUGCCCUUCACUUUUUAUUCCAAAUGUCAGCA